CACACACACACACACACAGAGAGAGAGAGAGAGAGAGAAAGAGAGAUCUUUCGUCCUCUAGGUGAGUCAAAGCUGAAGGAGGAAGCAGGAUGUCAUGACGGAGGGUUGCUACUAUGGCACUGUGUCUGUCUCUGCCCUGAGUAAGGGCCAUUACUGCCACCGAGGAUUGUGGGAAAUGGCCCACGAUGUGUUGCUGUUAAUCUUGGCACUGACAGCCUGUCUGACUGAACCUGCUCGCUGUGACGAGAUCGAUGUAUCUGGAAUUCCAAAAACAGAAGCACAAAGCACCAGUAUCUCAACAACUAUAAUAGACACUCCUCCUGUGACCACUGUAACAUGGAGCAGCACAUUCACAGUUGAUGUCCAGGACGAAGAGGAUUCCGGAGAUGCUGAAACACUUGCACAGGUUACUCUGAAGCAGAAUUCCACGAUGAAGCAGACUCCUAAUAAUACAACCACAGAUAAGAAGCUCAAGUCUGCAUCCAAGAGUUCUAUAUCUCACACUACAGUUGCAAAUCAUGAUGUUGAAGGGCAGAAUAACAGCACACAGGAUGAAGACAAAACGGAGAUAUGGGACCCAGGGAUGAUGUUCAUGAUCAUCGCAGUAUGUCUGACCCUCACUCUGAUCCUGGUAGUCGCUACAGUCGGAUUAGUGAUCGUAUGCAGGAGGAGGAAAAGAAACACUGCAGAUCCUGAGAAAGAUGAUCCGUAUCUGAAUGAUGACUUUGGAGAGAAAGUGCCGAUGCCCAUGUUUGAAGACGACAUGCCCUCUGUGAUGGAGUUGGAGAUGGAGGAUUUUGAGAAAUGGAUGAUAAAAAGAGGGAGCGACAUCAGUGUGGAGUCAAAAUAGAGGCAUCCUUCAUGAUCACACUGCUGUGAGUAAUGAGUGUGUUGUGGAAUAUAGCCUGUGCUUCUGUGUGUAGUUAUAAUGAGUGUGUGUUAGGAUUAUAAUGAGUGUGUAGUUAUAAUGAGUGUGUGUUAGGAUUGUAAUGAGUGUGCAGUUAUAAUGAGUGUGUAGUUAUAAUGAGUUUGUGUUAGGAUUAUAAUGAGUGUGCAGUUAUAAUGAGUGUGUAGUUAUAAUGAGUGUGUGUUAGGAUUAUAAUGAGUGUGUAGAUAUAAUGAGUGUGUGUUAGGAUUGUAAUGAGUGUGUAGUUAUAAUGAGUGUGUGUUAGGAUUGUAAUGAGUGUGUAGUUAUAAUGAGUGUGUGUUAGGAUUGUAAUGAGUGUGUAGUUAUAAUGAGUGUAAUGAGUGUGUAGUUAUAAUGAGUGUAAUGAGUGUGUAGUUAUAAGUCUGUGUUAAGUGAAGCUGCUGAUUGGUCAGCUAUUGUAAAGGCCCUUAUGACAUCAUCAGCUGGCAGUUAGAACCUUUAUCAGUGAACUUCAUAUAGAAAAUUUCACACUCUGUAACAGUUAUUAAAAAAGUUUAUAGAAAUAAGAAAAGAAACCUCUUUGUAAUAUGACAAAUAGCAAGAUGCUGACAAAAUGAUAGAAGAUUACAGUGUUCGAUGAACAGGUUUCUCUUCACUUUCUUCUUGUGAUUAUUAUAUUCCUAUCUAAGCAAUUUUCAGACGCGAGUGUCUGAGUGUGUUUAUAAUGUGAUUAAAUCACAACAGAAAACACACACAGCCGAUUGUGUUACUUCCUGCAGCAGCACAUGUGCUUGUGUAUCCUUAUCUUUUAUUGAACUUUAUUGAGAAAACUGUUUGUUUGGGGGAAAAUGCUUAUCUCAGACACUUCACUGUAGAUUUAACUUAGACUGCUUUGUGUGUGUGUGUGUGUGUGUGUGUGUGUGUGU